AAAAGCCUUCUUCUCUCUCUGGUGUGAGACGAAAUAUCAGCGACAGUUCAAACCGUCCUUUUCAAGCGCGUGGUUGGCGCGUGGCGGCUUAGAUAGCGCCGGCGUCGGUCCCUCGUGUUCGUUUUCUUUAUGUUUUCGUCUCUAGCUUAGUUUCCUUAGUUUGUUUGGAUCCAUGGACGUUAUUGGCGAGGUGAAAAUAUCUUUUGGGUUCUCAGAUCUGAAAAGGCUUUUGGUCAAGGGUUCGUUUCGUCGGAGCCGUUGGCCGUUUGUGGGGUUGGAGCGACCGUUCUCGGUCUUGUCUUGUGGUGUGGAUCAGCAGCUUGCAGUUUGAGGGGUUGUGGUUCGCGUCGGAGUUUAUGUCUCUCUCCUUUGUCGUUUCAGAUUUGGGCUCCGACGAAAGCGUCUUGUGGUGGUGUUGGCCACGGUUUUGGUUCGCUCAUGGUCUGGCCAUCUUCCCUUUGUUGGUGGUGGCAACGGUAUCUGGUGGAUUAGGGUUUGUGGUCUGGUUUGUGCCACUUUGUGUCUUUGUUAGCCUUGUUCUCUUCAAAUCUCUUUUGGGUCCUUGACUUUGUGCCUUCAUUAUUGGUUCGUUGGGUACGGUUGUGGAAUUGGCUCUAUAUUCAGUCUUUUGUGGUCUAGUAUCUUUGUUCUCUUGCCUUCUCUAUGCCAUGCUGAGUUUGCUUGUUUUUCGAUCCGGUUUGCUCUCUUGCCGUCUCCAGUUUUCGGUUUGUUGCAGAUUGUUGGGCUCGGUCCUUGUCUCUAUGGUCUAGACCUGAUCGAGGUCUCUUUAUUGCAUUGGUAUCUUUCUAGGCGUGGACAUUUCGUGGUUAUUUCGUUUGCUUCGAAUUCGCCGUUUCCAGGAGUUGUGUUUGAGUUCUAGAUGUCUUUCGACAUAGUUCUCUACUUGCUGGUAAAGAUGCUUUAGUUCUCUUAAAAUUGUGAGGUAGUCUUCAUUGUUAAAGGAAGAGCCGCUGUCCGAUGUCGUGGAUUUUCUCGUCUCCAUCGUGUUGUUGUCUGUUUCCCAUCCUUUUGGGCGUAGUUUCCGAGGAUAUCUUGUCAUCCGUCGGCUUAGUUUCCGGGAUCAUGUUUUCGAUCGUCGGCUCCUUGUAUUUCAUCUUGUAUUCCAUCAAUGAAAAUCAAAAUUCCAGUGAAAAAAAAAAA